AUUUCUCUAAUGGAAGCGAAGCUGUACGGAGCUUACAAUCGUAGAAAUCCAUAGCACCGGUUUCACGCAGCCAUCGCAACCAACAGCAGCAAUGGAUCGCCUCUCGAUCGAUUCGUUGUUCCAGGAAACGAUGGACAUCAGUUGGGCCAAUCGUGCCGUCAGCAGCGAGGAAACCAACAACAACCGUUUUACAUUGAGCAAUCAACAGCUACCGAUUCGGACAACAUCGACUCGGAUGGAAGCAGCAGCAACAGCGCAGAUUGUCGGUGUUAUUCCAUAUACUGUCUGCAGCAAAAACUCCACUAGCUGAUGAACGAUAUGCUACGGCGAAAGUAUCACAAUUUCAAACACAUCAUCACGACAACAUUAAUUCUACAGCAGUACUUGACGACGGCACCCAGCAAAAACCAUCAUCAUCACACAGAGAUCCAAAUCCAUCGUCGACACGGCAGAAAAAAAAGCCUUGCGCCAAACCAAGUCAACUGCCCCUACUGGCAUGUUCCCCUUGGACAACAACAUCAGCAUAGGAUUGGAAAACAACAGUCCACUGGAAAAAAAAACUGUGAUCUCUUCGAAGGUAUUGCCCAUGACAGAUUCCACCGUGAAGAAGCAUUUUUCUGACAUCGAACUCUAGGGAGGAGGUAUUGGAAAAUCGAAAAUAAUCACAUCUAAUGUGCAGGGGUUCGAAGCUAACAUGUGGCUGAGUGGAGAAUUUCUUAUCAAAUUUAAAGAACAAGUUCUACCAAUUUUGAUCCACAAUGAUCAAUCCGCAUGUGACUGAACUGAAUGAUUUUUUCACUAUGCAGCUUCCAUUGGGAUUUCCAGUAAAAAUAGAAAUACCGCUGUUCCAUGUGUUGAACGCGGUUAUCAUAUUUGGCAACGUAUUCGAAUAAGAGACACCCGUGACCAGUGUAAGCCACAUCAAAGAAAGCGAAGAGCGUACGGCAUGCAUUAUCGAGGUUUACUGUUUCGAUUUCCCGUUCGAGUACGUACGCCGCGGUGUCGAUUUCCGGCGUUAAAUCAUCUUCGAAGAUGUGAACGAAUUGAUGCAAUUUGCGAUCCAGCAAAAUUUGGCAAGUGUCCGAAAAGCACAUCUUUGAGUACUGUGAUACCCAACUCACUCGCUAAAAGCAUGCAGGAAAAACUUUUCAAUAUUUUAUAAAAAAUA